rnacentral:sRNA from 1 species
GGAAAGGAGCUCCUGCUGCCACUGCUCUUCUGGAGCCUGCAGCAUGGGGCCCCUGCCGCGCACCGUGGAGCUCUUCUAUGACGUGCUGUCCCCCUACUCCUGGCUGGGCUUCGAGGUGAAGCUGGGAGGGGCAGCCUCGGCGGGGUCUGGGGCGUGAGGGCGGAGGGAAGAGUGAGCGCAGGGCUCCGAGACAGAGGUCUCGUGAAACUCUUGGCGCCGCCCACGGGGUUAGGGCAAGCAGGGAGAGCUCCAGGGCUGAAAGCCACUUUGUGCUUUUAAACGGAAUAGAGUCGCUGGCUCCAACCCGAGCCUUUAUAUCCUGACUGCAGUUUCCCACGGUGGUGGAAAGAGGGGCGGCUCCAAACAUUCAGGGAGAAAUGCAGAACACGGCCACCUCUUAGCCCAACGAUGGCAGUUUUGGGGAAAACUGACCACAGGAGCGAAGAUCCUGGAAUAGAUUUCUAGUAGUGAGGAGAGUUUUGCCAAUUUCAAACCAUACAAUGUAGGGUGUCCGCAUAACCCCUGCUCUGCACUUAGCGCCUCCCUUCCCUUUCCCUCGGCUCUUUCACUUUUCCAUCUUGCACACUGGCAAUCGUUCUUGACUUCUGCCCGCAGAUCCUGUGCCGGUAUCAAAAUAUCUGGAACAUCAACCUGCAGUUGCGGCCCAGCCUCAUAACAGGAAUCAUGAAAGACAGUGGAAACAAGCCUCCGGGUCUGCUUCCCCGCAAAGGACAAUACAUGGCAAAUGACUUAAAGCUCCUGAGACACCAUCUCCAGAUUCCCAUCCAUUUCCCCAAGGAUUUCUUGUCUGUGAUGCUUGAAAAAGGUGAAG